rnacentral:rRNA from 1 species
CUUAACACAUGCAAGUCGAACGGGGCUAUUUGAUUUCGAUUGGGUAGCCUAGUGGCGAACGGGUGAGUAACGCGUGAAUGACCUGACCUUGAGAGGGGGAUAACAACGAGAAAUCGUUGCUAAUACCGCAUAGGACCACACUGCCGCAUGGCAGAGAGGUGAAAGGAGAAAUCCGCUAAAGGAGGGGUUCGCGUCCCAUUAGGUAGUAGGCGGGGUAAAGGCCCACCUAGCCGACGAUGGGUAGCCGAGCUGAGAGGCUGAACGGCCACACUGGAACUGAGACACGGUCCAGACUCCUACGGGAGGCAGCAGUGGGGAAUAUUGGGCAAUGGGCGAAAGCCUGACCCAGCAACGCCGCGUGAGGGAAGAAGGUCUUCGGAUUGUAAACCUCUGUCCUUGGAGACGAAGGAAGUGACGGUAACCAAGGAGGAAGCCCCGGCUAACUACGUGCCAGCAGCCGCGGUAAUACGUAGGGGGCGAGCGUUGUCCGGAAUUACUGGGCGUAAAGGGUGCGUAGGCGGCAAUUUAAGUUGGAUGUGAAAUACCCGGGCUUAACCUGGGGGGUGCAUUCAAAACUGGAUAGCUAGAGUACCAGGAGAGGGAAGCGGAAUUCCUAGUGUAGCGGGGAAAUGCGUAGAUAUUAAAGAGGAACACCGGUGGCGAAGGCGGCUUUCUGGACUGAAACUGACGCUGAGGCACGAAAAGCGUGGGGAGCCAACAGGAUUAGAUACCCUGGUAGUGCACGCUGUAAACGAUGAAUACUAGGUGUAGGGGGUAUAGACUCCCUCUGUGCCGGAGCAAACGCAAUAAGUAUUCCGCCUGGGGAGUACGGCCGCAAGGUUGAAACUCAAAGGAAUUGACGGGGGCCCGCACAAGCAGCGGAGCAUGUGGUUUAAUUCGACGCAACGCGAAGAACCUUACCAAGGCUUGACAUCCUACUAAAGUCAUGGAAACAUGAUGUCCCUUAGGGGAAGUAGAGACAGGUGGUGCAUGGUUGUCGUCAGCUCGUGUCGUGAGAUGUUGGGUUAAGUCCCGCAACGAGCGCAACCCCUGUUGCCAGUUACCAGCGCGUAAAGGCGGGGACUCUGGUGAGACUGCCGGGGACAACUCGGAGGAAGGUGGGGACGACGUCAAAUCAUCAUGCCCCUUACGUCUCGGGCUACACACGUGCUACAAUGGCUGUAACAAAGGGAAGCGACUGGGCAACCAGAAGCGAAUCUCAUAAAAGCAGUCCCAGUUCGGAUUGUGGGCUGCAACCCGCCCACAUGAAGUCGGAGUUGCUAGUAAUCGCGGAUCAGCAUGCCGCGGUGAAUACGUUCCCGGGCCUUGUACACACCGCCCGUCACACCAUGGGAGUUGGGAGCGCCCGAAGCCGGUAACUUAACCGCAAGGAGAGAGCCGUCGAAGGCGAGACCAAUGACUGGGGU